CGAAGAUUAAGUACAGAGACACAAAUAUUUAAGGGAGUAUGACAGACCUUCUAACAGUGACAGAUGAACCAAGAAAGAGGGCUGCGUGAGUCGUUUUGCCUCAGACCAUCUCCGGCACCUUCAUCAUCACAAUCUCAGCCUGGCUUCAUCAGCACACAUUUGACUCAUCAAAGGAGAUCGCUGGGAAGAUACAUGAGGAAAGUUGCCACUUGGCCAUUAUCUGCCUGCGGCAGGUCCAGAGUUCUACCAGAGUCCUUCCAAAGUAAGAUACAUUUAGCACACAUGCUUGUGGAAAGUGCUGGAUCUUAAAUGCAACCUCCAUUAACCCAAUUAUUGUUCAUUAAUCAUAGCUGAAAAGUCUGGAAUCAAGAGAAAUGUAAAGCUUUGCGCUGAGGCAGUAUGGUAGCCAAAGAGGAUUGUCUGAGGGGGUGAUUAUUGCAAGUUGAACUGAGAUUAUUGCCACUGAGAUCCUGGAUCCUCAAAAUGGGGUUCAUGGACCAAUGGCAACAGCAGUAUCUGAGGACAAGUUGGAAAUGCAGAAUUUCAGGGCCCACCCCAGACUGUGGAAUCAGAAUCUGUAUUUUAACAAGACCCCCCAGGUGAUCUGUGUGGGUUUUCAAGUUUGAAAAGCCCUGCUGGAGAUUCUCUUGAGGUGGUCAUUUUCAUUCAUCCGGUUCUAUUCUUAAAAG
rnacentral:lncRNA from 1 species